rnacentral:rRNA from 1 species
UUAAGCGACUAAGCGUACACGGUGGAUGCCCUGGCAGUCAGAGGCGAUGAAGGACGUGCUAAUCUGCGAAAAGCGUCGGUAAGGUGAUAUGAACCGUUAUAACCGGCGAUGUCCGAAUGGGGAAACCCAGUGUGAUUCGUCACACUAUCGUUAACUGAAUACAUAGGUUAACGAGGCGAACCGGGGGAACUGAAACAUCUAAGUACCCCGAGGAAAAGAAAUCAACCGAGAUUCCCCCAGUAGCGGCGAGCGAACGGGGAGCAGCCCAGAGUCUGAAUCAGCUUGUGUGUUAGUGGAACGGUCUGGAAAGUCCGACGGUACAGGGUGAUAGUCCCGUACACCAAAAUGCACAGGUUGUGAACUCGAAGAGUAGGGCGGGACACGUGGUAUCCUGUCUGAAUAUGGGGGGACCAUCCUCCAAGGCUAAAUACUCCUGACUGACCGAUAGUGAACCAGUACCGUGAGGGAAAGGCGAAAAGAACCCCGGCGAGGGGAGUGAAAAAGAACCUGAAACCGUGUACGUACAAGCAGUGGGAGCACCUUCGGGUGUGACUGCGUACCUUUUGUAUAAUGGGUCAGCGACUUAUAUUCUGUAGCAAGGUUAACCGUAUAGGGGAGCCGCAGGGAAACCGAGUCUUAACUGGGCGUUAAGUUGCAGGGUAUAGACCCGAAACCCGGUGAUCUAGCCAUGGGCAGGUUGAAGGUUGGGUAACACUAACUGGAGGACCGAACCGACUAAUGUUGAAAAAUUAGCGGAUGACUUGUGGCUGGGGGUGAAAGGCCAAUCAAACCGGGAGAUAGCUGGUUCUCCCCGAAAGCUAUUUAGGUAGCGCCUCGUGAAUUCAUCUUCGGGGGUAGAGCACUGUUUCGGCUAGGGGGUCAUCCCGACUUACCAACCCGAUGCAAACUACGAAUACCGAAGAAUGUUAUCACGGGAGACACACGGCGGGUGCUAACGUCCGUCGUGAAGAGGGAAACAACCCAGACCGCCAGCUAAGGUCCCAAAGUCAUGGUUAAGUGGGAAACGAUGUGGGAAGGCACAGACAGCCAGGAUGUUGGCUUAGAAGCAGCCAUCAUUUAAAGAAAGCGUAAUAGCUCACUGGUCGAGUCGGCCUGCGCGGAAGAUGUAACGGGGCUAAACCAUGCACCGAAGCUGCGGCAGCGACACUAUGUGUUGUUGGGUAGGGGAGCGUUCUGUAAGCCUGCGAAGGUGUGCUGUGAGGCAUGCUGGAGGUAUCAGAAGUGCGAAUGCUGACAUAAGUAACGAUAAAGCGGGUGAAAAGCCCGCUCGCCGGAAGACCAAGGGUUCCUGUCCAACGUUAAUCGGGGCAGGGUGAGUCGACCCCUAAGGCGAGGCCGAAAGGCGUAGUCGAUGGGAAACAGGUUAAUAUUCCUGUACUUGGUGUUACUGCGAAGGGGGGACGGAGAAGGCUAUGUUAGCCGGGCGACGGUUGUCCCGGUUUAAGCAUGUAGGCUGAUUGUCCAGGCAAAUCCGGAUAAUCAAGGCUGAGGUGUGAUGACGAGGCACUACGGUGCUGAAGUAACAAAUGCCCUGCUUCCAGGAAAAGCCUCUAAGCAUCAGGUAACAUUAAAUCGUACCCCAAACCGACACAGGUGGUCAGGUAGAGAAUACCAAGGCGCUUGAGAGAACUCGGGUGAAGGAACUAGGCAAAAUGGUGCCGUAACUUCGGGAGAAGGCACGCUGGUGUGUAGGUGAAGCCCCUGCGGGUGGAGCUGAGACCAGUCGAAGAUACCAGCUGGCUGCAACUGUUUAUUAAAAACACAGCACUGUGCAAACACGAAAGUGGACGUAUACGGUGUGACGCCUGCCCGGUGCCGGAAGGUUAAUUGAUGGGGUUAUCCGUAAGGAGAAGCUCUUGAUCGAAGCCCCGGUAAACGGCGGCCGUAACUAUAACGGUCCUAAGGUAGCGAAAUUCCUUGUCGGGUAAGUUCCGACCUGCACGAAUGGCGUAAUGAUGGCCAGGCUGUCUCCACCCGAGACUCAGUGAAAUUGAACUCGCUGUGAAGAUGCAGUGUACCCGCGGCAAGACGGAAAGACCCCGUGAACCUUUACUAUAGCUUGACACUGAACAUUGAGCCUUGAUGUGUAGGAUAGGUGGGAGGCUUUGAAGCGUGGACGCCAGUCUGCGUGGAGCCAACCUUGAAAUACCACCCUUUAAUGUUUGAUGUUCUAACGUUGGCCCCUGACCGGGGUUGCGGACAGUGUCUGGUGGGUAGUUUGACUGGGGCGGUCUCCUCCCAAAGCGUAACGGAGGAGCACGAAGGUUAGCUAAUCCUGGUCGGACAUCAGGAGGUUAGUGCAAUGGCAUAAGCUAGCUUGACUGCGAGCGUGACGGCGCGAGCAGGUGCGAAAGCAGGUCAUAGUGAUCCGGUGGUUCUGAAUGGAAGGGCCAUCGCUCAACGGAUAAAAGGUACUCCGGGGAUAACAGGCUGAUACCGCCCAAGAGUUCAUAUCGACGGCGGUGUUUGGCACCUCGAUGUCGGCUCAUCACAUCCUGGGGCUGAAGUAGGUCCCAAGGGUAUGGCUGUUCGCCAUUUAAAGUGGUACGCGAGCUGGGUUUAGAACGUCGUGAGACAGUUCGGUCCCUAUCUGCCGUGGGCGCUGGAGAAUUGAGGGGGGCUGCUCCUAGUACGAGAGGACCGGAGUGGACGCAUCACUGGUGUUCGGGUUGUCAUGCCAAUGGCACUGCCCGGUAGCUAAAUGCGGAAGAGAUAAGUGCUGAAAGCAUCUAAGCACGAAACUUGCCCCGAGAUGAGUUCUCCCUGAGACUUUAAGUCUCCUGAAGGAACGUUAAAGACGAUGACGUUGAUAGGCCGGGUGUGUAAGCGCAGCGAUGCGUUGAGCUAACCGGUACUAAUGAACCGUGAGGCUUAACCU